GCUUCACGCCAGAUCGUACUCUUUUAAUCUCUUUUUUUGUUAAUUUUUGUUAUUUUUGUUAAUAACAUUAAUUUUUGUGUUUUCUUGCGAUAUGUUGUUGAAUCAUAUUCUUUUACAACGAAAAAUAGUUAACCUUCAAAUAAAACAGGUUUUAGGGAACAAACACGCUCUUCGAGCAGUUUCCCUAAAUUGUAACACAGCCAUUUGGCUUUUUAACUUUUUGUAUAUAAAAAUAAAAAAAUAAAACAAGAUAAUGGAUUUAGCUCCUGAAAUCGCUUGGUGUCCCUCCGAUUUGUUUCCCCUUACGAUUGCUCUUCUAUAUUGACGUCGUGCCUGAGGAAGGUUUAAUUGUAAAACCGAAACAGCUGUAGCGCCGAUUUGCCAGUUUAAAUAAACUAUUUUUCGUCGUACAUUCAACCCCAGGGUAAUUUAAUGUUGAAAUAGGUUCACAAAAGAUAUGGGGCCGAUUUCUCCUUAUAGAAUUUAGAGUCACAAAUGGAUUAAAAUGAUUAUGGCAAUAAAUAGGCUUCAAUAUCCCUCAAAGCUUAUGUUUCCAGGAGUUUAUUUUAAGAC